UACGUAGGGUGCAAGCGUUAAUCGGAAUUACUGGGCGUAAAGGGUGCGCAGGCGGUCGCUUAAGUCAGAUGUGAAAGCCCCGGGCUUAACCUGGGAAUUGCGUUUGAAACUGGGCGGCUUGAGUGUAGCAGAGGGGGGUAGAAUUCCGCGUGUAGCAGUGAAAUGCGUAGAUAUGCGGAGGAAUACCGAUGGCGAAGGCAGCCCCCUGGGUUAACACUGACGCUCAUGCACGAAAGCGUGGGGAGCAAACAGG
rnacentral:rRNA from 1 species